GCCUAACACAUGCAAGUCGAGCGGUCAGCACAAGGGAGUUACUCCUGAGCGUGGCGAGCGGCGGACGGGUGAAGUAAUGCCUAGGGAUCUGCCCAGUCGAGGGGGAUAACAGUUGGAAACGACUGCUAAUACCGCAUACGCCCUACGGGGGAAAGAGGGAGGACCUUCGGAGCCUCUCGCGAUUGGAUGAACCUAG
rnacentral:rRNA from 1 species